AAAAGGAAAGACCUUAAUAAUAAUAAUAAUAAACAGAAGAAAUACAGUAAGGUCUUUCCCUUUUGUAAAAGGAAAGACCUUAAUUAAAAUGUCAAUUGUUCUUGAACAAUUGAGAGGUCUUUCCUUUUCGAAAUGUAAAGUAAAUGUUCCAAUAGGCGUAGAAUGCAUUGAAAAGCUCUCAAACACACAUAAAACCGUUAAAAAAUGACAAAAACAACAAAUUCGAUAAUUUGGACAUGACCUUGACUUUUGACCUUGUAACCUUUGUGAAGGUCAUUGGUCCACAAUGUCAUUGUAAAAGACCCCAUGGGUCUAGGACUUUUCGUUCAAGAGUUAAAGCUAAUUUUACCUUUUCAGAAACCGUUAACGGCGGUUAUGCCCCUUAAGAAUAUGUCAAAUCCUUUCGGUCAAAAUGUAAAAAAGUUGUGCCUCAGUCACCUUAACAUUUUUCACUGUUUACUAUUUCUGUAAGAUUAACCGUUUUUGAGAUAUCGACUAAAAAGUUGAAAGGUCAAAGGUCAAGGUCAACCUUAAAAACAUUAAAACACACUAAAAAUACUUAAAAUAAGGUCAAAAACACAUAAUUCGCUAUCUGGGACAUGACCUUGACCUUUGACCUUGUGACCUUUGUCAAGGUCAUUAGUCCCAAUGUCAUUGCUGAAGACCCCAUGGGUCUAGGACCUUUGGUUAUAUAGUAAAAGCUGAUUUUGUCUUUUCAGAAACCUAAAUCAGGGGUUAUGCCCCUUACAGAAAGG
rnacentral:lncRNA from 1 species